AGGACUCGCGCAUGCGCAGCGCAGCCUGGGCCGGCGCCUCGGCAGGAUGUAGUCCCAGAGCAGCGCGCCGGACCCACGCCAGCGGAAUUGCGCAUGCGCAGGGCAAUCUCUGCCCGCGGCCUGGGCUGGGGUGUAGCUCCAGAACCUAGCCUCCAGCUCCCGCCAGCAGGUUUACGCAUGCGCGGCGACGCCUAGGCCUGUGGCACGAAUGUGCAUGUGAUGGCUGGACCUAAAGUAGCUUCUUGGACCACAGGAUGGAAGCCAUACAUUGAAGAUGAUAGAGCAACAAUUGAAAAAGAGCCUGGGUCUCUGAUGACUGUAGAGUUGCCAUACCAUACUUUUGUCUUCUGUGCCAUGGGCUAACUUGCUGGAGAGCCACAUGGAGAGACUGUAUGGAAAAACCACACGGAGAGGGAGAAGCCUUUAGACCACAUGGAAGAGAACUGAGGAAUUGAGCUGACAAUGAGAACUGAGGUCCCAGCACAUGGUCCCAGUUGUGUGUUCCAGUCAGCUUCUAGCUGUUUGAACCAUCUCUAUACUAGUAAACAGGUGAUCCUGCCUUAUCCUGGAGAAAGAAAUGCUACACAAGAGGCCAAGAAGAAGCUAAACAAACAAGCCUUGCUGGGUUCCCAUUUCAGCUUAUUACCAUUAGGACAUGCCCUUUCUGUCGAAUCACAUUUCUACAUGGCUGUACAUUCUUCAUCAAACCUAAGCAUUAAAAAAAAGCUUUCUCUGG